CGGGCAAACUCCCUGGGGGAAAAGCCAAGGGAUAAGGAAAAGCUGACCUCGUUUCAGAGCAAGAGGCAUAAAAUCUGAAGUACUGCAGGUGCUGCUCUUUUAGCCUGGGCCCCAGAAUAAACACCACUAGAAGAAACACCUAAUGGCCUCCUUGCAGACCAGCAGCGUGAUGCAAAGCUAACCCGGCGAACCUGCACAUGAAUGAGAUCCAGGACUCUGAGGCCCUAAGGAAUGGCAGUGAUGAGGUAGGAGUCUUGGUCCUGAAUGAUUUCAUGAAGCAAUCUCCUUUUAUGUCUCUCAUAAAUUGUAUUGGAGUGUG
rnacentral:lncRNA from 1 species